rnacentral:rRNA from 1 species
AACGAACGCUGGCGGCAGGCUUAACACAUGCAAGUCGAACGGAUCCUUCGGGAUUAGUGGCAGACGGGUGAGUAACGCGUGGGAACGUACCCUUUGCUACGGAAUAACUCAGGGAAACUUGAGCUAAUACCGUAUGUGCCCUACGGGGGAAAGAUUUAUCGGCAAAGGAUCGGCCCGCGUUGGAUUAGCUAGUUGGUGGGGUAAUGGCCUACCAAGGCGACGAUCCAUAGCUGGUCUGAGAGGAUGAUCAGCCACACUGGGACUGAGACACGGCUCAGACUCCUACGGGAGGCAGCAGUGGGGAAUAUUGGACAAUGGGCGCAAGCCUGAUCCAGCCAUGCCGCGUGAGUGAUGAAGGUCUUAGGAUUGUAAAGCUCUUUCACCGGUGAAGAUAAUGACGGUAGCCGGAGAAGAAGCCCCGGCUAACUUCGUG